UACGUAGGUGGCAAGCGUUUGUCCGGAAUUAUUGGGCGUAAAGCGCGCGCAGGCGGUCCUUUAAGUCUGAUGUGAAAGCCCACGGCUCAACCGUGGAGGGUCAUUGGAAACUGGGGGACUUGAGUGCAGGAGAGAAGAGUGGAAUUCCACGUGUAGCGGUGAAAUGCGUAGAGAUGUGGAGGAACACCAGUGGCGAAGGCGACUCUUUGGCCUGUAACUGACGCUGAGG
rnacentral:rRNA from 1 species